rnacentral:snoRNA from 1 species
AAGGCCAUCCUGUCAGGGAUCAUUUCUAUAGUUUGUUAUGAGAGAAGUUUCUCUGACCAUGUAGAGUACCAGAAGCCACAGGCAGAGGCAUAGGGUUCCUCCCUGAGCAUGAAGCCAGCUCUUGGUGUUGCUUUGAUCAAACUGCCACUUGCCAUUUAUGCUUGUUCUUGCCUUCUCCUUGGAGGAAGCAAGAGGGAAGGAGAGCAGUCUUU